GAUGAACGCUGGCGGCGUGCCUAAUACAUGCAAGUCGAGCGAACAGACGAGGAGCUUGCUCCUCUGACGUUAGCGGCGGACGGGUGAGUAACACGUGGAUAACCUACCUAUAAGACUGGGAUAACUUCGGGAAACCGGAGCUAAUACCGGAUAAUAUAUUGAACCGCAUGGUUCAAUAGUGAAAGACGGUUUUGCUGUCACUUAUAGAUGGAUCCGCGCCGCAUUAGCUAGUUGGUAAGGUAACGGCUUACCAAGGCAACGAUGCGUAGCCGACCUGAGAGGUUGAUCGGCCACACUGGAACUGAGACACGGUCCAGACUCCUACGGGAGGCAGCAGUAGGGAAUCUUCCGCAAUGGGCGAAAGCCUGACGGAGCAACGCCGCGUGAGUGAUGAAGGUCUUCGGAUCGUAAAACUCUGUUAUUAGUGAAGAACAAAUGUGUAAGUAACUAUGCACGUCUUGACGGUACCUAAUCAGAAAGCCACGGCUAACUACGUG
rnacentral:rRNA from 1 species